GGCUGGUCCGAAGGUAGUAAGUUACCUCAGUUGAUUGUUUAUAGUCAGUUACAGUUCGAACUCCUUGUUCUACUUUCCCCGCUUCUCACUAUUGCACUUGACUAGCCCUUU
rnacentral:Y_RNA from 1 species